rnacentral:rRNA from 1 species
AGUGAACGCUGGCGGUAGGCCUAACACAUGCAAGUCGAACGGCAGCACAGGAGAGCUUGCUCUCUGGGUGGCGAGUGGCGGACGGGUGAGGAAUACAUCGGAAUCUGCCCAGUCGUGGGGGAUAACGUAGGGAAACUUACGCUAAUACCGCAUACGACCUUCGGGUGAAAGAGGGGGAUCGCAAGACCUCUCGCGAUUGGAUGAGCCGAUGUCGGAUUAGCUAGUUGGCGGGGUAAUGGCCCACCAAGGCGACGAUCCGUAGCUGGUCUGAGAGGAUGUUCAGCCACACUGGAACUGAGACACGGUCCAGACUCCUACGGGAGGCAGCAGUGGGGAAUAUUGGACAAUGGGCGCAAGCCUGAUCCAGCCAUACCGCGUGGGUGAAGAAGGCCUUCGGGUUGUAAAGCCCUUUUGUUGGGAAAGAAAUCUUUCAGGCUAAUACCCUGGGAGGAUGACGGUACCCAAAGAAUAAGCACCGGCUAACUUCGUG